AUUGAACGCUGGCGGCAGGCCUAACACAUGCAAGUCGAGCGGAGGAAGGGAGCUUGCGCCUGGAUUCAACGGCGGACGGAUGAGUAAUUCCUAGGAAUCUGCCUGGUAGUGGGGGGUAACGUCCGGAAACGGGCGCUAAUACCGCAUACGUCCUGAAGGAGAAAGAGGGGGAUCUUCUGACCACACGCUAUCAGAUGAGCCUAAGUUGGAUUAGGUAGUUGGUUGGGUAAAUGCCCACCAAGGCGACCAUACAUAACCGGCCUGAGAGGGUGAGCAGCCACAAUGGGACUGAGACACGGCCCAAACUUCUACGGGAGGGAGCAGUAGGGAAUCUUCGGCAAUGGACGAAAGUCUGACCGAGCAACGCCGCGUGAGUGAAGAAGGGUUUCGGAUCGUAAAACUCUGUUGGUAGAGGAGAAAGGUGGUGAGGGUGGAAAGCUCAUCAAGUGACGGUAACUACACAGAAAGGGACGGCUAACUACGUG
rnacentral:rRNA from 1 species